rnacentral:lncRNA from 1 species
CUUUUUCGAGAUUGGAUCCGCGCAGAAAGAAGGAACUUUGGCCUAGCAGAAUCACAACCAGAAAUAGAUGAGGCGUAUGAAGAAAUGAUGGCAGAAUUUGCUCAGGAAGCAACUUCACCCGGAAGUGGCGAUGAACAAGCUUCAUUUCCACGACCGCCGACACAACCACCUCCCAACCUUGAAGGUUUUAUGAGAUUUGUUAGAAAUAAUGCAUAAAUUAU